UCUGGGAUAGCUCAGCCGACAGAGCAUGAGACUCUUGAUCUAAGGGUUGUGGGUUCGAAACCCACCUUGGGAG